rnacentral:rRNA from 1 species
UGGGGAAUAUUGCGCAAUGGGCGAAAGCCUGACGCAGCGACGCCGCGUGAGGGAUGACGGCCUUCGGGUUGUAAACCUCUUUCAGCAGGGACGAAGCGCAAGUGACGGUACCUGCAGAAGAAGCACCGGCUAACUACGUGCCAGCAGCCGCGGUAAUACGUAGGGUGCGAGCGUUGUCCGGAAUUAUUGGGCGUAAAGAGCUCGUAGGCGGUUUGUCGCGUCGACUGUGAAAACCUACAGCUUAACUGUGGGCUUGCAGUCGAUACGGGCAGACUUGAGUUCGGUAGGGGAGACUGGAAUUCCUGGUGUAGCGGUGAAAUGCGCAGAUAUCAGGAGGAACACCGGUGGCGAAGGCGGGUCUCUGGGCCGAUACUGACGCUGAGGAGCGAAAGCGUGGGGAGCGAACAGGAUUAGAUACCCCUGUAGUCC